rnacentral:rRNA from 1 species
CUUGGUCAUUUAGAGGAAGUAAAAGUCGUAACAAGGUUUCCGUAGGUGAACCUGCGGAAGGAUCAUUAUUGAAAGUAAAAUGUAGUUGGUUGUAGCUGGUCUCUCUGAGGCAUGUGCUCGCCUUCUGCGCUUUCCCUUUUUCCACCUGUGAACUACUGUAGACCGUGGAUAGACUCUCGCUGUACGCAGCGGAUUUGAGGCUCGCACUUGGUUGCUUGCUUCUACAUAUCUACUGGUCUAUGUUAUACAUACACUUUUGAAAAGAACAUUGAAUGUCUGUUUACUGGUCUCUGACCUUUAAAUGAAAUACAACUUUUAACAACGGAUCUCUUGGCUCUCGCAUCGAUGAAGAACGCAGCGAAAUGCGAUAAGUAAUGUGAAUUGCAGAAUUCAGUGAAUCAUCGAAUCUUUGAACGCACCUUGCGCUCUUUGGUAUUCCGAAGAGCAUGCCUGUUUGAGUGUCAUUAAAUUCUCAACCUAAACUUGGUUUUACGACUGACGUUUAGGCUUGGACUUGGGGGUUGCCGGCAUCUGCAAAGAAGUCAGCUCCUCUUAAAAGUAUUAGCGGUGACUUGGUUAGCCGUUCCUUGGUGUGAUAAUUAUCUACGCUUUGGUUCAGCUUCCAGUUUGUGUCACAGCUUCUAACUGUCUGUUAACUCGGACUGUUUGCUUGCAAACACUUUAUUGACUCUUGACCUCAAAUCAGGUAGGACUACCCGCUGAACUUAAGCAUAUCAAUAAGCGGAGGA